GAAAUGCGAUAAGUAGUGUGAAUUGCAGAAUUCAGUGAAUCAUCGAAUCUUUGAACGCACAUUGCGCCCCUUGGUAUUCCAUGGGGCAUGCUUGUUCGAGCGUCAUUUGUACUCUCAAGCUUUGCUUGGUGUUGGGUGCUUGUCUUAUUCUCUUCGAUUAGACUCACCUUAAAUUUAUUGGCAGCCCAUGUAUUGGACUUAUGCGCAGCACAUUUUGCGAAUAAGCCUAAUUACACACGCGUCCAUUAUGCAUUUUAACACUUUUGACCUCGGAUCAAGUAGGGAUACCCGCUGAACUUAA
rnacentral:misc_RNA from 1 species